ACCCUCUCAGGAUUGCACCUGGAGAGUUUCCAGUUCUCUACCAGUCUCGGUUACGGGAGGGAGUCAAGCAGAGACAUACGCAUUCCAUUCCUAGCUUGGCCCAGUGGCUAGAGAGUGGAAGGCAAUCUGCUAAAGUC